rnacentral:tRNA from 1 species
UGUUAUAUGGCUUAGUGGUUACAGCACUUGGACAGUUUCCAAGAGAUGCAGGUUCAAAUGCCGCUACAUUAA